rnacentral:rRNA from 1 species
UCUAAGCGGGAAGCCUACCUCAAGAUAAGAUUUCCCCGAGACUUUAUGUCUCCUAAAGAGCCGUUGAAGACUACGACGUUGAUAGGUUGGAUGUGGAAGCAUAGUGAUAUGUGAAGCUGACCAAUACUAAUUGCUCGUGAGGCUUGACUAUACAACACCCAAACAGUUG